CUCGCUGUGUGGUCCAAUUCGACAAGAUUUCUUCUACUUUGGAAGUUUGUGUACUUCUGGAUUUGCUGGAAUCUAUGCGUGCGGUUUCUUGGAUCUCAUGGCCACGCCCACUUUUACAACAGUAGCACUUAAGAACGUUUGAUGCUGACUGACGUUACAGACUGCAGACGUGACUAGUAGAAGGCCGAAACUAGAACACGUCGGGGGAACGGCUUCGUGUGAGAAAGUGAAUCGACUCAGAUGCAGGAAGUGAUCUGAACAUGCCGUGCGUUUUGAGAAAGGUUUUGCUGCACCAGUCCGUACAGGAUUUCGUGGAGGUUUGUUCUUUUUUGUGAUUGCUGCAGCCAAAAACGCUCGAUUUUGCUGCAGCUUUUACUUUUUUUUUUUUUUUGAGUUCUAUUGUGCUUUUUUUGGUGGAAAACUACUUGAAUUGGCGAAUUCGCAGUUAUUCGAAAUUGUCCUGCAUGCUCUUUUGCAGUGAUGUUUGUUGGUAAAUGAGACCAUUUAGCUGUACUCAUGUUCGAGGAGCGUGAAUUGAAGAGGGCUUCGGCUUAAUGCGUGUCGCGAUGACGUCUCUGGCAUGUCUUGGACUGAAUCUGUGGUAUUUUGAAAAACUGCAAGCUCCUCUGAAUAUCGCAAGAUCUUAUAAUCCUGGAAGGACUGCUGCACAAUCAAAAGUCCACGACAGUAAUCAAGUCACCAGGCCUGUUCCUGGAGAUGAUUCCUCCUGAAGACUUUAGCUCCAACCAUAAUGCUGCCCACCUGACCAUCUAAUCUCUGCCUAAAGAAGUUCUCGAUCAACUAAAACAGGUGUGUUAGAUUUUGGUUGGCGAUGAAACCUGCAGGACGACGGAUCUCAGGGAAGCGUGCUGGUCGAAGAGGUAAAGCUGGACCGGAUCCGACUCCUCCUAUAACCCAGCAUUCUGUGUGCUGUGUGUUUAUUGCUGUGCGUUUGACCGUACAAAUAAACCGACAGCAAAUGCUUUUUGUGAUCAAAGUCUUCCUGCUUGGACCCCCUGUUUGAAAAUUCUGAGUUCUCACAGCUUUCAAGUGUGUUUGUGUGUGUGUAUAGUAUAUGUGUGUAUGUGUAUGUACAGUUUGCGUAUGUACAGUGUGUGUUUUGUGUGUGUGUAUGUACAGUGUGUGUGUACAGUGUGUAUGUACAGUGUGUGUGUGUGUGUGUAUAGUAUGUGUGUGUAUGUACAGUGUGUGUAUGUACAGUGUUGUGUGUGUGUACAGUGUGUGUGUGGGUGCACUGCAGAGAGCGCCUCUAAUGCCGCAAACAAGCACUGCUAAUCUGCCUUCUCAUCUAAAGCUGUCUGAUAUUCUGAAUUAGAGCCGGCUACUCGAGAACUCCUGCAGUAAGGGAGUGAGUGUGGAGAAGGAGGAGAAGGAGGAGAAGGAGGAGAAGGAGGAGGAGAAGUAGAAGGAGGAGAAGGAGGAGGAGGAGGAGGAGGAGGAGAGCACGCAGAAGCAGGAAAUCAGUAUGAGCUGGAUCUGAGGUCGACGCUACGUGUUUGAAACGUUCUGUACAGAAGCUGUUGUAGCACUGUGGAGACG
ensembl:lncRNA